GUGCAGCAGUCGCGCAAACUCUGCAAUACGCGAAACCGUGACGGGGCUACCCCGAGUGCCGUCCGCUGAGGAUGGCUUUUCUCCGGUGUAGUAAGCAGGAGGAAUAAGGAGAGGGCAAGUCUGGUGUCAGCCGCCGCGGUAAUACCAGCUCUCCGAGUGGUAGGGACGAUUAUUGGGCCUAAAGCGUCCGUAGCCGGCCAAGCAAGUUUCCCGUUAAAUCCAGCGAUCCAAUCGCUCGACUGCGGGAGAUACUGUUUGGCUAGGGGGCGAGAGAGGCCAACGGUAUUCCCGGGGUAGGGGUGAAAUCCUAUAAUCCCGGGAGGACCACCAGUGGCGAAGGCUGUUGGCUAGAACGCGCUCGACGGUGAGGGACGAAAGCUGGGGGAGCGAACCGGAUUAGAUACCCGUGUAGUCC
rnacentral:rRNA from 1 species